GGCCUGCCCACUGAAGAUUUAAAUGGCCGCGGUAUUUUGACCGUGCAAAGGUAGCAUAAUAAUUAGUUUUUUAAUUGAAAGCUGGAAUGAAAGGUUGGAUGAGAAAAUAACUGUCUCUAUUUAGAUUAAUUAGAAUUUUAUUUUUAAGUAAAAAAGCUUAAAUAUUGAUAGAAGACGAGAAGACCCUAUAGAGUUUUAAUUUAGUUGGGGUGAUUGAAAAAUUGAAUAAACUUUUUUUGUAAUUAACCAUUGAUUUAUGAGUAAUUGAUCCUUUUUUAAAGAUUAAAAGAAAAAAUUACCUUAGGGAUAACAGCGUAAUUUUUUUAGAGAGUUCAAAUCGAAAAAAAAGAUUGCGACCUCGAUGUUGGAUUAAAAUUAAGUCUUGGUGUAGAAGCUAA
rnacentral:rRNA from 1 species